UACGGAGGGAGCUAGCGUUGUUCGGAAUUACUGGGCGUAAAGCGUUUGUAGGCGGCUUUGUAAGUUAGAGGUGAAAGCCCGGGGCUCAACCCCGGAAUUGCCUUUAAGACUGCAUCGCUUGAAUCCGGGAGAGGUGAGUGGAAUUCCGAGUGUAGAGGUGAAAUUCGUAGAUAUUCGGAAGAACACCAGUGGCGAAGGCGGCUCACUGGACCGGCAUUGACACUGAGGUGCGAAAGCGUGGGGAGCAAACAGG
rnacentral:rRNA from 1 species